AGCAUCACAUGUCUCAUCUCUCACUCUGUCGCGGCCAGCAAAAGGGUUGAAAUUCACCUCAGUCGCGGCUGGGUUCGUUUGUGGUUUCUUGGAUCCAUUUCUUCUGGUAAGCAAAAAGUUGGUUCUUUGUUAUUUAUUUAAUUCAUCAAAAGUUUGCAACUUUUUUGUUACUGAUGCAUUUAGGUACUUGUUUGACUUGAUUUGUAUUAAUUAAUUAUGUCUUAGUUCGUGGUUGUGGGAUUGUGUUAAUAAAAAGUUGGUACUGGAGGAAAAAAGAAACUGCAUCUUUUUGCUUUGGCCUCAUCCCUUUUGAUUCAUUAUUUAUCUUAUCUUUUGGACAUUUGAGGGUUGAGGAUAGUUUGUUUUGUUUUGUUGAGUUAAGCUUCGGCUGGGUUAUUUUCCGACAGAGCAUGGACAAAAUGAAAAUACAUAAUGUUAAAUUUGGUUUAAACUAAAAGGAACACGAACCAGGCUUUAUAUGGAUCCUGAAUCGGGUAGAAAUGUGGACUCUGAGAGAGUUUUUGAUUUGUUUUACAGUUCAAAUGAUUAAUGGGCUUUUGCUAGAUAGCAAUAUCGCCUUUCUCCUUUAUUUUUUCCCAGCAAAGGCUCUUAGCUACAUUUUCAAUAGCAGUUUGUUCCUUAUUCAAAUCCUCUUUUGUUCUUUUCCAGCCUCUCGCAUGCUUCUUCCAAUUAAUUGGAGGGCCAUAUAAAAUCCAGUACCCUCCAAUUCAUGAUUAAUAAUGUUCUUGUUAAGAAUUCAAAGUUAAUGUCCUGUAAUUUUCUUGAUUAAUAAUGUCUCUUCAAAAUCUUAAUCUUAUGAAUUCUUGAUUAAUAAUGUUCUGUAAUUUUCUUUCAUUUUAAGCAUUGUUCUCUUCAUAUAGAUUAAUGAAAUUCGGUUAGGAUACUGUGACUGUCUUCGCAAUUUAAUUAGACUGUGUUUGUAAUUUUUGUAGAGUGAAAAAUUGAUAUAGAAAAUGAACAAAGAAUCGACUUGGAUGCCUCUAAAAAAAGUGAUGAAAGUGUUUGUGUGAGAGUUAGGAUAGAAUCAGAAAAUAAUAGCGAUACAGCCAUUGAAUUAGAACCAAAUUCAACAGCAGCAGUUCAGGGUUGUAGUCAUGGCUGUGGUCGUGGCCGUAGGGGUAAUACUAAUCCUGUCACUUCACAAAAACGAGAUGGUGGUGGUAGAGUAGUCUCUGAUGCUUGGAAUCAUUUCAAAAAAUUUAAGUUGGGUGAGGAAGUCCAGGCAAUUUGCAAUUACUGUGGGUUAGUUAUGCAAGGACAUUAUUCGAGGGGUACUAAUCACUUAAUAAACCAUGCUAAACGUUGUCCUAGAAAGUCAUUUAAGAAUGUACAGCAAAUGCACCUAUCUUUUUCUUCUAAAGUUGAUGGAAGCACUUUACUUAGUAAUUGUAGUUCCGAAUCAAAAUGGGAUAUGGCUACAGUAAAGCUUUUUGUAGCUAGAAUGAUUGUACUACAUGAGCUCCCCUUGGCAUUUGUUGAGUAUGUUGGGUUUUAUGACUUGUUGAAGCUACUCCAACCUUCUAUUGAGACUAUUAGUAGAAACACCAUCAAAGCUGAAAUUUUGAGGCUUUAUGAUGUUGAAAAGAAAAAGACAAUGGGUAUUUUGAAAGCUUGUGAGAGUAGAAUCGCAAUUACUAUAGAUAUGUGGACUGCUAGUAACAAAAAAAAAAAAAAAAGAUACAUGGUUAUUACGGCACAUUACAUUGAUAGCUCAUGGGUGUUGCGAAGUCGUAUUAUGAGGUAAUAUUCUUGAAACUUAUUUUUUUUUGUUUAAGCAUAAAUUAAUGUCAUGUCUAAUAUUUUAAUUAUUUUUUCACAUUGUUAGGUUUAUAUAUGUGCCAGCUCCACAUAGUGCUGAGGUAAUGUUUAAUGAGUUAUAUGAUUGUUUGAUGGAUUGGAAUAUAGAUAGAAAGUUGUUCUCUGUAACUGCUGAUAAUUGUGCUGCAAAUGAUUCUAUGAUUGCCUUGUUGUUGGGGAAAUUUUCUACUAGGUCAAUGAUUAUGGGUGGCAAAUUCUUUCAUAUGUGUUGUUGUGCUCAUAUAUUGAACUUGAUAGUUAGAGAUGGUUUGUCUGUGAUACAAAAGGGAGUUGAGAAAAUUAGAGAUAGUGUUCAUUAUUGGACAGCAACACCAGCUAGAGUUAAAAAAAUUGAGAAUGCAAAAAAAUAAUUAGGUAUUAAGGAAACCAAAAACUUAGUACUUGAUUGUAAAACUAGAUGGAACUCUACUUACUUGAUGCUUAGUACUGCAUUGUUGUAUAAAGAUGUAUUUGAUCGUUUAAAGGAACGUGAAAGAAAUUAUACAUCUUUACCUAGUGAGUCGGAGUAGAAUUUGUCAAAGCUUAUGUGUGAGUAUCUAAAAAGCUUUUAUAAGUUGACAGAACUUUUUUCAGGGACAUGAUAUCCGACAUCUAAUUUAUUUUUUGCCAAGAUUUGUGAAAUUAGAUUGUCAAUGAAUGCAUGGUUGCAAUCACUAAUUGAGGGGAUAAAAAAUAUGGCUACUAGGAUGAUUGCGAAGUAUGAAAAGUAUUGGGAUGUUAUUCAUGGAGUUCUUGAAGUGGGGACUAUGUUAGAUCCUAGGCGUAAAAUGUUACUGAUUAACUUUUUAUUUCCUAAAAUAUAUGGGGAAAAAGCUGAAUCCGAAAUUGAAAAAGUGCGUAAGUUAUUUGUUGAUUUAGUACAUGAGUAUGAAGUAAAUCAUCUAUCAAAUUCAAGUGGGGGGGUUAAUGGUGCCAAUUCUCAAGCUGCUGCAGGAGGGGACUCUAAUAUGUUAGAUUUAGAUUUGGAUGAAAUGGCUGAUGAGUGGGCAUUAUUUAGAAAUGAAAACACACAGAAUACUCAUUCUAAAUCAGAAUUAGAACUUUAUCUUGAGGAGAGUACUUUGCCUUCAACUAGUCAAUUUGACAUUUUGUCAUGAUGGAAGAAUAAUCAAGGCAAAUAUCAUAUAUUUGCAAAGAUUGCAAGGGACUUUUUGGCCAUUCCUGUAUCAACAGUUGCUUCGGAGUCCGCUUUUAGCACUGGAGGUAGACAUUUGAGCCCUCAUCGUAGUAGACUUCACCCAUCCACAGUAGAGGCAUUGGUGUGCACUCAAAAUUGGUUUUGUCUUGAACAAAACUUAAAAGGUAUGAAAAUUUUAUUUAUUAGAAUCAAAUUAUUUGUUGUAUUGUUCUUAUUAUCAAUUUAUCACUAAUCGGUUGUGUUGUUCAUUAUGUUUAUAAUUUACACAUUUUUUGUAGAUGGAAUUCCAAAGGAAGCAAUACUUUCUGCAGAGCAUUUGAUUGAUGAAAGUUGGAUGAGUGAGCAACAGUCAAAUGAAGUGGAUGAUUCAGAGUUUAGUCUUUAGCACUAGUGGCUAGAAAUUUGAGCUUUAAAUUGUAGAAUUAUGUUAUGGAUUUGUAUUUGUGGAUGUUUAUUACUUUAAAACUUUGAAUUUUAGAUUUUAUAUUGUGUUGUAUUUGUUUUAGAACUUGGAUGUGUUAUAUGUUCUGUUUUUUUGCCCUUUGUCCAGCAAAGUUUGUUGAACCAAAGUGAAGUAACUUGGUUCUGGUAGUCUGGUUCUGGAUGUGUUAUAUGUUCUGUUUUUUUGCCCUUUAUCCAGCAAAUUUUGUUGAACCAAUUCUAGGAAGAAUAUUGUAAUGUGUUUUACCGUAAUGUGUUUUUUCAUGUAAUACAUUAAAACAUUAAAA
rnacentral:lncRNA from 1 species